GAUGAACGCUAGCUACAGGCUUAACACAUGCAAGUCGAGGGGAAACGACAUCGAAAGCUUGCUUUUGAUGGGCGUCGACCGGCGCACGGGUGAGUAACGCGUAUCCAACCUGCCCACCACUUGGGGAUAACCUUGCGAAAGUAAGACUAAUACCCAAUGAUAUCUCUAGAAGACAUCUGAAAGAGAUUAAAGAUUUAUCGGUGAUGGAUGGGGAUGCGUCUGAUUAGCUUGUUGGCGGGGUAACGGCCCACCAAGGCAACGAUCAGUAGGGGUUCUGAGAGGAAGGUACCCCACAUUGGAACUGAGACACGGUCCAAACUCCUACGGGAGGAAGCAGUGAGGACUAUUGGUCAAUGGACGCGAGUCUGAACCAGCCAAGUAGCGUGCAGGAAGACGGCCCUAUGGGUUGUAAACUGCUUUUAUAAGGGAAUAAAGUGAGUCUCGUGAGACUUUUUGCAUGUACCUUAUGAAUAAGGACCGGCUAAUUCCGUG
rnacentral:rRNA from 1 species